ACAACUUUCAGCAACGGAUCUCUUGGCUCUCGCAUCGAUGAAGAACGCAGCGAAAUGCGAUAAGUAAUGUGAAUUGCAGAAUUCNGUGAAUCAUCGAAUCUUUGAACGCACCUUGCGCCCUUUGGCUAUUCCGAAGGGCAUGCCUGUUUGAGUAUCAU
rnacentral:rRNA from 1 species